UACGUAGGGUGCGAGCGUUAAUCGGAAUUACUGGGCGUAAAGCGUGCGCAGGCGGUCUGUUAAGACCGAUGUGAAAUCCCCGGGCUUAACCUGGGAACUGCAUUGGUGACUGGCAGGCUUUGAGUGUGGCAGAGGGAGGUAGAAUUCCAUGUGUAGCAGUGAAAUGCGUAGAGAUGUGGAGGAAUACCGAUGGCGAAGGCAGCCUCCUGGGCCAACACUGACGCUCAUGCACGAAAGCGUGGGGAGCAAACAGG
rnacentral:rRNA from 1 species